rnacentral:lncRNA from 1 species
AACAUUUGCAUGCGUUAGGAAUAUACACACACAGCUCAUUCGCAUACACUGGAAGAUCAUAUGUUUUUUUGUUUGCGUUCAACUAGAAUCUAUUGUCCUCAAAUGCUAACUCUGACCAUAAUUUCUAAGCUACCCAUCUUCCAAACUAAGCCCAAGUAAUCCCACCUAGGAUUAUUAAAAACAGACAUAGACGCAGUUCAGUCAACUAUAUAAUACAUAAACUACUAGCCUCCUCUCGAAAUUGCUGUUUUAAAUAAAUAUCAUUGCAACUUUUUAUCAUGUUUCUUUCCCCAUUUCCUCAUCUGAAUUUGAACUGUGGACAUGGCGGUCAAGAAAUCCAUACAUUGCAUGGGAGUUAAUGUCUCCACCACGCCCUUCAGUGUCUCGAGCCUCACACAAUCAGCCAUUUUCAUCACUUUCUCCAAUCCACCCAUCAAACCCUUCAACGCCACCUCCACCAACCCAUUUACCUGAGCCACCGCCGAGUCAUCAUC